UCAGCCCGGUACGUUGUCCGUUUCGUCACACUUCGUCGGUCCCUUCCGCGUCGUUGCAUUCUUGCAUUUAUAACCCCUCCCAAUUCGGAAAUCCAACACCCAGUCCUGAAUCCUCAUCGACGCCAGCGCCCCCUGCCGGAGCCGGCCUCGCCCGCACGACCGUCGCUGCCCUACCCGCACGCCAAGGUUCUCGUCCUCACCUCUGCCCUCGCCGAUGAUGCCUUCUGCAGCGCCCGCCGUUCCCCAUCCCCGGGACUGCGGCCUGCCUCCUCUGCGACGCGCCGCCGCCGACGCCCUGGACGUGUGCGCAUCGUCCUCGACUGGAUCCAUGGACGAUGCGGUGUCUCCUCCCGCUGAUUCGUCCUCUGUGUGUUCCACGACCGCCGCGCAGUACUGGCACAGCUCCACAUCGUCCGAGCGCGCCCGACUCGCCAUUCGUGCGCCUCUCUUCGCCGCCCCUGUAUCCCGCCGAUCUGAGACGAUGAAGGAGGGGGGAAGGCGUGACGGCGUUGCUACUGCUUCUGCUUGAGGACUCCAAGGAAAGAAUAAGUAGAGAAGAAGAAAGAUAGAAGAGAAAUGCCUGUGGAUUCUGACAGAGAUCAUCAAAAAAAAUCAAUUUGAAACCAAAUUGAUGAGCUACACCGUCCACUCCAUGGAAACACAUUUUGCAGAAGCCAGGCCUGCAUCACGUCUUCUCUAGGUAAUCGUGAUGCCCAAGCUUUGGUUAUCCGGUUUUACAAAGAGUUCAGUCCAUAUUUGGCAACUAUGGCAUAUUAAUUCCAACUUUCAUUUGAUUGUUUUGGACCGAUGAUUAUAUUUUUGGUUUAAUCUAGGACUGUGGUUUAGUUGCUGAUUCUCCUGUACUCCUUAAUCUUUUGGUGAAUAGAGAAGUACUAUAUCUCACACUUUUUUAGUCUUAUGUCUGAAGGUAAUUGUGACAUUCAGUGCUUCAGUGAGUGGAUCACUUAAAAUCUCGUUCCCAAUUUCAUGAACAUGAUUUUGGACAUAAUUACAGAGAUAACACUAUCUGUAGUACCGACUACAAAGGAGAUACUGCUGGUGUGUGUAGUAUUUUGUUGUUACAUAUUACAGUAAAACUAUUAGUUGUGCAUCAAGCAAAAUACUAGGGAGCCAGGCUGAAUUGUGUAUCAACUAUCAACUAUCAAGCAAAAUGUUACAGGGCCAGGCUGAAUUCUCUCUCAAGCAAAAUACAAGAGAGUCAGGCUAAAUUGAACCUCAUUUCUGAAUAGAAAUCCAUAUGGAUUGCUAGGUUGCAGGUCUAUACCACCUCUGUACAUGCAAGAACAUUCAUGUUGUUGUAGCAAGUUACGUUGGUUUACUUCCACUUAUCUUUUUUCAAACUAUGCAGAUUGUUUUCAUUUGGAAAAUUGUUGGGAUGAUAACUGUAGCUGUAGUGCAUAUAUAGAAUGGUGACCGUAAUGCCACAUAGUGUAAUGAUUCAUGAUAGGUCAUGCAAUUAUCACACUAACCAUAUUUAUUCUUUUUAGUAAUUACCACAAUUUUCACCCUAACCCAGAAGCAUCAGGAGGUCAAAGAUGUUAGUGCAAAGGAUCUGCAUGCACGAUUUUGUGUCAGCUCAUUAAAUAAUUUUCCAUGUACUGUAUGGCUGAACUGAUGUUAAAUUAUGCAUGGGAGUGCAAGGGAAUUACUACGUUCUUGUACUUAGAUAAUAAAGGUUAGGACAAAUUUAGGUGUAGCCCAGAUUUGUUUACUUAUUUGAGGUCAGAUAGAAGAGAAAUUGGUAAGGAACAAGAAACACUUGCAUUGUGUGUCUGCUGCUGUGGGUACUCCAAUUUUUUGUUGACAUAUGGCUAAUUUUUUUUUUUGAGAAACACAGUACAAACGCAGACGCUCACAUACACGCGCAUACACUCACCCCUAUGAACGCACACACGCACACCCUACCCCUAUGAGCACCUCCGGAAGACUGAGCCGGCGGAUUGGAUCUUGAAAUUGAUGAAGUCACCACAGGCGCCUCGCUGUCGACGGGAACGUCGCCUCCCACUGAAUGAAUAUUCCGCUUUUAUGAGACACACAGAUGUCAAACCUGGGGUUUGAACUCUGGUGGGCUGGGGGUACAACCACCCUCCUAACCAUCCAACCUCAGGGUCAAGGUCGAUGCCAAUCUUCUGGACAAACUUUAUGCACAAGCAGGGUAGGUGCACUUGAAAGAUCGACCAGAGGGUACAUCGAGACCAGGUGUGAUCAUGUCACUGAAUCAUCAUUGCGCAAGACAUUUGAUUCUCAUGGCGUGGUUUAUGACUUCUACAGCUUGUACUCUUGGGAGCAUAGUUUCACAUCUGUUAGGAAGAGCAAGAUGAAUUCGCAAAGGAUAAAAGUAUAUGAAAGAUACAAUCUGUGGUGUGGUUACUCCAGGAGUGUUUAUUUUUGAUAGUUAUGUUUGUGACAUGUUUUUUAAACUAGCAUAUUGUUCAAUCCAGCUUACAUGUUCA